rnacentral:rRNA from 1 species
CCUACGGGAGGCAGCAGUAGGGAAUAUUGGGCAAUGGAGGCAACUCUGACCCAGCCAUGCCGCGUGCAGGAAGACGGUCCUCUGGAUUGUAAACUGCUUUUGAAUGGGAAGAAUGUGCUCCUUGCGAGGGGUAAUGACGGUACCAUUAGAAUAAGCCACGGCUAACUACGUGCCAGCAGCCGCGGUAAUACGUAGGUGGCGAGCGUUAUCCGGAUUUAUUGGGUUUAAAGGGUGCGUAGGCGGCUUAAUAAGUCGGUGGUUAAAAGUAGCAGCUUAACUGUUUUACAUGCCAUCGAUACUGUUGAGCUUGAGAUAUUUGGAGGCAGCUAGAAUUUCCGGUGUAGCGGUGAAAUGCAUAGAUACCGGAAGGAAUACCAAUUGCGAAGGCAGGUUGCUACGAAUAAACUGACGCUGAUGCACGAAAGCGUGGGGAUCAAACAGGAUUAGAUACCCUGGUAGUCCACGCCGUAAACGAUGAUUACUAGUUGUUGGGGUUUAAGCCUCAGUGACCAGGGAAACCGAUAAGUAAUCACCUGGGAGUACGCGGCAACGGUGAAACUCAAGGAAUUGACGG